GAAACGAGAAUAAAACGUGAAGGAUAACGUUGCGUCAGCAACGGCCCGUAGGGCGAGGCGAAGCCGAGUCAUCCUGCACGACCCACCG
rnacentral:sRNA from 1 species